CCAAAAAUCUCUGUUUCUUCA
rnacentral:snRNA from 1 species